AUACUUACCUGGCAGGAGAGAUGCCAUGCUCAUGAAGGUGGUUUUCCCAGGGCAAGGCACCCCCAUUUUGCUCCAGAUGAGCUGACCCUGGGAUUUCCCCAAAGGAGGGAAACUUGACCACAUAGCUUGUGGUUGGGGGUGGGGGUAGAGGUUUGUUUCUCUACCCU